GAGUUGAGACCCGGAGGGUCUGGAGUGCGCCGCGAGGGGGCGUGGUCGAGCGGGAAGGUCCGGGUGGUGGGCGUGGUCUUUUAUCGAAUGGGUGGGGCCUGCUAUACAGUCUACCAAACGAAGCUUGGACAAGGCGGCGGGUGGAAGAGUUAGUGUGUCAAUGACAAGAAGUUACAAUACCAGAGGCGCACACCCGCUGCAGAGGAGUUUAUGGCUCGCGUAUCCCAGUGGGCCGGGCGUAUUCGUGCGGCCGGGCGGGGUCUCGUUUGCAGCACUAAUGCUUGGCCUUGCCAAACAGAGCCGGAGAGAAAACCGGAAAAAGCGCAGGAUUCGCCUCCAAGGGUGACUGAAGUCCCAGGCUCCAGGGAAACCGGUAUUCCAUCCCUAGCAACCUCUGAAUCUCUACAUUUCUCCUCGGUAACAAAGGUCUCGGACUCCCUGGCAACCGAGCCCUCACCUGCGGUAGAAACAAAGGCCCCACCUUCCUUAGCAACCGAAGGCCCCUCCUCCAUGGCAACAGAGGCUCAGUCUUUUCUAACUGAGGUCCCCUCGGUUUCUGCAACGCACAUCCAGCCUUCACUGGAUGAAGGGCCAGUUAACUUCCUCACAUCAACACACAUCCCUGUCCCCAA
rnacentral:lncRNA from 1 species